rnacentral:rRNA from 1 species
UACGUAGGGGGGCAAGCGUUGUCCGGAAUCAUUGGGCGUAAAAGAGCGUGUAGGCGGUUCGGUAAGUCGGCUGUGAAAGUCCAGGGCUCAACCCUGGGAUGCCGGUCGAUACUGCCGGACUAGAGUUCGGAAGAGGCGAGUGGAAUUCCCCGGUGUAGCGGUGAAAUGCGCAGAUAUCGGGAGGAACACCUAUGGCGAAGGCAGCUCGCUGGGACGUUACUGACGCUGAGACGCGAAAGCGUGGGGAGCAAACAGG